AGCAGCCGCGGUAAUUCCAGCUCCAAUAGCGUAUAUUAAAGUUGUUGCAGUUAAAAAGCUCGUAGUUGAAUUUCGGGAUCAAUAUACCGGUCAUGCCUUGGUAUGCACUGGUAUCUUUGAUUUCUCCCUUCUGACGAACUUUGAUGUCAUUAAUUUGGUGUCAUAGGGAAUCAGGACUGUUACUUUGAAAAAAUUGAGUGUUUAAAGCAGGCUCACGCUUGAAUACAUUAGCAUGGAAUAAUGAAAUAGGACGUUUGAUUCUAUUUUGUGGUUUCUAGGAUCGACGUAAUGAUUAAUAGGGAUAGUUGGGGGCAUUAGUAUUCAAUUGUCAGAGGCGAAAUUCUUGGAUUUAUUGAAGACUAACUACUGCG
rnacentral:rRNA from 1 species